UUCUAUGGCCAUGCUACCCUGAACAAGCCUGAUCCUGUCUGAUCUCGAAAGCUAAGCAGGGUUGGGCCUGGUUAGUACUUGGAUGGGAGACCACCUAGGAAGAUCAGGUGCUAUAGGUG
rnacentral:rRNA from 1 species